CACUUGUUCUUUAAAUGGGGACUUGUAUCAACGGCAUCACGAGGGUUUUACUGUCUCCUUUUUCUAAUCAGCGAAACUAAUCUCCCCGUGAAGAAGCGGGGAUAUUUAUAUAAGACGAGAAGACCCCAUGGAGCUUCAAACCCAAUUACACCCCCCCCCCCCC
rnacentral:rRNA from 1 species